UACGAAGGGGGCUAGCGUUGUUCGGAUUUACUGGGCGUAAAGCGCACGUAGGCGGAUCGUUAAGUCGGGGGUGAAAUCCUGGAGCUCAACUCCAGAACUGCCUCCGAUACUGGAGAGCUCGAGUCCGGGAGAGGUGAGUGGAACUGCGAGUGUAGAGGUGAAAUUCGUAGAUAUUCGCAAGAACACCAGUGGCGAAGGCGGCUCACUGGCCCGGUACUGACGCUGAGGUGCGAAAGCGUGAGGAGCAAACAGG
rnacentral:rRNA from 1 species